CCUACGGGAGGCAGCAGUGAGGAAUAUUGGUCAAUGGACGAGAGUCUGAACCAGCCAAGUAGCGUGAAGGAUGACUGCCCUAUGGGUUGUAAACUUCUUUUAUAAAGGAAUAAAACGAGGCACGUGUGCCUUUUUGCAUGUACUUUAUGAAUAAGGAUCGGCUAACUCCGUGCCAGCAGCCGCGGUAAUACGGAGGAUCCGAGCGUUAUCCGGAUUUAUUGGGUUUAAAGGGAGCGUAGAUGGGUUGUUAAGUCAGUUGUGAAAGUUUGCGGCUCAACCGUAAAAUUGCAAUUGAUACUGGCAGUCUUGAGUACAGUUGAGGUAGGCGGAAUUCGUGGUGUAGCGGUGAAAGGCUUAGAUAUCACGAAGAACCCCGAUUGCGAAGGCAGCUUACUAAACUGUGACUGACAUUGAUGCUCGAAAGUGUGGGUAUCAAACAGGAUUAGAUACCCUUGUAGGC
rnacentral:rRNA from 1 species